rnacentral:rRNA from 1 species
UACGUAGGGUGCGAGCGUUGUCCGGAAUUAUUGGGCGUAAAGGGCUCGUAGGCGGUUUGUCGCGUCGGGAGUGAAAUCCACUGGCUUAACUGGUGGCUUGCUUUCGAUACGGGCAGACUGGAGGUAUGCAGGGGAGAACGGAAUUCCUGGUGUAGCGGUGAAAUGCGCAGAUAUCUGGAGGAACACCGGUGGCGAAGGCGGCAUCCUGGACCGGCAUUGACGCUGAGGCGCGAAAGCCAGGGGAGCAAAGCGGG